CCUACGGGUGGCAGCAGUGGGGAAUAUUGGGCAAUGGGCGCAAGCCUGACCCAGCAACGCCGCGUGAAGGAAGAAGGCUUUCCGGUUGUAAACUUCUUUUCUCAGGGACGAAGAAAGUGACGGUACCUGAGGCAUAAGCCAUGGCUAACUACGUGCCAGCAGCCGCCGUAAUACGUAGGUGGGAAGCGUUAUCCGGAUUUAGUGGGUGUACAGGGCGUGUAGGCGGGAGCGCAAGUCAGAGGUGAAAACUCAGGGCUCAACCCUGGUCCUGGAUUUGAAACUGUGUUUCUUGAGUGCGGGAGAGGCAAUCGGAAUUCCGGGUGUAGCGGUGAAAUGCGUAGAUAUACGGAGGAACACCAGUUGCGAAGGCAGAAUGCUGGACAGUAACUGACGCUGAGGCGCGAAAGCGUGGGGAGCAAACAGGAUUAGAUACCCCAGUAGUC
rnacentral:rRNA from 1 species